rnacentral:rRNA from 1 species
CAGUCGCCGCGGGAAUACGAAGGGGGCUAGCGUUGUUCGGAAUUACUGGGCGUAAAGCGCACGUAGGCGGAUAUUUAAGUCAGGGGUGAAAUCCCGCAGCUCAACUGCGGAAUUGCCUUUGAUACUGGGUAUCUUGAGUAUGGAAGAGGUUAGUAGAAUUGCGAGUGUAGAGGUGAAAUUCGUAGAUAUUCGCAGGAACACCAGUGGCGAAGGCGGCUAACUGGUCCAUAACUGACGCUGAGGUGCGAAAGCGUGGGGAGCAAACAGGAUUAGAUACCCCGGUAGUCCCUGUCUCUUAUAC